rnacentral:rRNA from 1 species
GACGAACGCUGGCGGCGUGCUUAACACAUGCAAGUCGAACGCUGAAGCUUGGUGCUUGCACUGGGUGGAUGAGUGGCGAACGGGUGAGUAAUACGUGAGUAACCUGCCCUUGACUCUGGGAUAAGCCUGGGAAACUGGGUCUAAUACUGGAUACGACAUGCCACUGCAUGGUGGUGUGUGGAAAGGGUUUUACUGGUUUUGGAUGGGCUCACGGCCUAUCAGCUUGUUGGUGGGGUAAUGGCCUACCAAGGCGACGACGGGUAGCCGGCCUGAGAGGGUGACCGGCCACACUGGGACUGAGACACGGCCCAGACUCCUACGGGAGGCAGCAGUGGGGAAUAUUGCACAAUGGGCGCAAGCCUGAUGCAGCGACGCCGCGUGAGGGAUGACGGCCUUCGGGUUGUAAACCUCUUUCAGUAGGGAAGAAGCGAAAGUGACGGUACCUGCAGAAGAAGCACCGGCUAACUACGUG